ensembl:lncRNA
AGAGGGGGGAAGCUGAAGGCAGCUAUAAUCUGCUUUGUAAUAUGCUUCCUUUUCUAUCCCCUUUCUUCACAGAAAGUCUCUCACAAGACUUUGACCUAGGAUGGCACUUCAUUCCUGCAGACCUGUGACAAGUCAUGGCAGUGUCCCCUGAGUCGAGCUCACAGCAUGCUCAGGGGCUGCCUCCUCUGCAGUGUCCUGUGUUACCUCCUCAGUGGCCCAAGUGCAGGACAUACCUAUGAGCCAGUAGUAAAGCACACACCAAGCUGAAGACUCAGGAAGCCUUGGGAAAGAGCGUGCCUCUUGCUUGCUUUCCUGUCUGAUUUGAUCUUACCAAGGGGCCAUGGUGGAUCAUGAAAAUCUCCCUGCUCCCAACUGAGCAGUCACAGAGAAGCACUGGAUGUCCAUCUUCCUCCUUUGGCCUUGUCCUCAUUUGGAUACUGACCCUCUCCCCAGCACAGAUCGUCUCUCCUCUGCUAGACAUCCUUGUGUUCCCAUGCCCCAGUUUCCCAGGAAUGGAUGUGAAUGCAGCUGUUGGGAGAGUCGGUGCCCAUCUGCCUGGGUCGAAUGCUGCACUGGGAGCAACACUGCUGUUGCCUGUGGGGCAGAGCCAGGAUGUGAGUGAACACUUCAGAAUCAGGCUGGGGUGUGCAAGUUCAAGCACAGGUAAAAGUUUUGUUAACAUUUGUUGGGUUUUUUUAACCUCAGAUGCAUAG